CCAGAGAACUUAGCAGAGAUGCUUUGGUGCCUUCGGGAACUCUGAGACAGGUGCUGCAUGGCUGUCGUCAGCUCGUGUUGUGAAAUGUUGGUUAAGUCCCGCAACGAGCGCAACCCUUAUCCUUUGUUGCCAGCGGUUAGGCCGGGAACUCAAAGGAGACUGCCAGUGAUAAACCGGAGGAAGGUGGGGAUGACGUCAAGUCAUCAUGGCCCUUACGAGUAGGGCUACACACGUGCUACAAUGGCGCAUACAAAGAGAAGCGACCUCGCGAGAGCAAGCGGACCUCAUAAAGUGCGUCGUAGUCCGGAUUGGAGUCUGCAACUCGACUCCAUGAAGUCGGAAUCGCUAGUAAUCGUGGAUCAGAAUGCCACGGUGAAUACGUUCCCGGGCCUUGUACACACCGCCCGUCACACCAUGGGAGUGGGUUGCAAAAGAAGUAGGUAGCUUAACCUUCGGGAGGGCGCUUACCACUUUGUGAUUCAUGACUGGGGUGAAGUCGUAACAAGGUAAGCGUAGUGCU
rnacentral:rRNA from 1 species